rnacentral:rRNA from 1 species
UUUUAAAUGGCCGCAGUAUUUUGACUGUGCAAAGGUAGCAUAAUCAUUAGUUUUUUAAUUAAAAGCUUGUAUGAAAGGCUGGACGAGGUAAAAUCUGUCUCUAUUUAAAUUAUAGUAGAAUUUAACUUUUAAGUUAAAAGGCUUAAAUAUUAUUAAAAGACGAGAAGACCCUAUAGAUCUUUAUAGUUUAUUAAAUUAAAUUAAUUUAGAAAUAUUAAUGUUUUAUUUAACUAAAUUAUUUUAUUGGGGUAAUAAAAAGAUUGAAUUAAUUCUUUUUUAUAAUAAACAUUAAUUUAUGAAUAUUAAUGAUCCAGUUUUACUGAUUAUAAGAUUAAGUUACCUUAGGGAUAACAGCGUAAUUUUUUUAGAGAGUUCAUAUCGAUAAAAAAGUUUGCGACCUCGAUGUUGGAUUAAAGAUUAUUUUAGGUGUAGAAGCUUAAUAAUUUUGGUCUGUUCGACCAUUAAAUCUUUACAUGAUCUGAGUUCAGACCGGCGUAAGCCAGGUCGGUUUCUAUCUUUAAUAAAAUAAAAUAUUUUAGUACGAAAGGACCAAAUAUUUGAUAUAUUUAUAUUUAAUUUAUUGAAUAUUA